CGUUCCCAUCCCGAACACGGUCGUUAAGCUCUCCAGCGCCGAUGGUACUGCGCGGGCAACUGCGUGGGAGAGUAGGUCGCCGCCGAAU
rnacentral:rRNA from 2 species